UGGAUAUCCUACAAAAGCCAGUUAGAUCUU
rnacentral:piRNA from 1 species